rnacentral:lncRNA from 1 species
CCGUUUUCACAAGUUUCUUUGGUUUACUUCCCCGCUUUUAAUGACGUAAAAAAAUAUACAUAUAUGAUCAUUCUAACUUCGCCUAUAGGAAUUAUAUAUCGCGGUAGGUCUGGCAACGUUGUGACAACAUACUCGAAGCAGAGGACCCCGCCGAAGCCCGAAACCGAAACCUUUCAGUAUUCUUAAGGCGUUCGAGUGGGGAUGCGCUGCUCUGUGGAAAAUUAAAAAAAAAAUUUUUGUUUCGUUUGAGUCUUUGCUGCUGCCUGUCCUAAUAGCAAAAAAUAAACUAAAAACCGACUGCAAUAAUGUUGUAAACAUAAAUUAACUAAAUAUUGGACAGGAAAUUAAAAAAUUAAUUCAAAAUAAAGCAAGAAAUUAAGUUAAUUUGAUAAUAUUAAAUAAAAAUUAAAAUUAUCUUAUGUCAGGGUCAAAAAGGCCACCCUGUUUAACAGUGCAGUAUGUCAAUCCAUCUUAAAACGACCUUCUCGUGUUCGACAACAUUUCAAUGGAGAUACUAUUAAAUGCUUGCCUAAUUUUAACACAAAGCUCUUCUAAAUUAGUAACCCGUUCAUUUUCGUGCCUAUAAAUUUGUUCUUUUAGGUAUCCCCAAAGAAAAAAAUCAUUGGGGGCUAAAUCGGGGCUUCUGGCGGACCAUUUAAUAGUACCGUUUCCACUGUUUGUUCGAUCAGGGAAAGACGUUUCGAGAAAUUGACCUACCACUAAUGCGUUAUAAGCGGGACAACCAUCCUGUUUGAAACCAAACUUGUUCUAAAUUGAUAUUGAGUCCUCGAAUAGCAGGAAGAACUUCAUCCCUCAAAAGAUUAAGGUAUUUGUUGGCAUUAAGGUUUCCAUCGAUAAAAAAGGGCCCAUAACUGAAUCACCUAAAAUGCCAGCCCAUACAUUAACCUUUUGAGGGUAUUGUGUAUGUGUUGGUAUGCUUAUAUGCUUAUUUUCUUUCGAAUAACCCACUGUAAUGGACGGAUUAUGUUUACCACAAAUAGAGAAAGAGGACUCAUCUGAAAACAAAAUAACUGCUAAUAAACAUUUCGUCCCGAUUUGCUCUUUCCAAUACUUCAUGGCAAAAUUCCAUCCGUCUCUCAUGGUCCUGUGGGAAAAUUUCUUGCGUUUUUUGCAACUUAUAGCACUUGUACUUAUUUUUUUUUUUUUUAAUUCUUCUAACCCUUAAAGGCUCAAUAUCCGUUUCUUUGGCAAUGGUUGUACUAUUGCAAGGAAAGUUCAUUUCAGCAACAGCACAAACAUUAACCUCUCGAAGCUCCCUUUCUUCGCCUAGCGGUCUAACAACAGGUGGUUGCUCAUUUGCGUAGCAUUUCCUGCAAUUUUGCAAGCACCCAAAGGUCUCAAACCUAUGGAUAAUUGCAAAAAUUGUGCUGCGUACGGGAAUGGGGCGAUUUUUGAACGUGAAUGCAAUUCUGCCUGAUAUUUCAUCGACCGAACUGCCGGCAUAAUACCAUUUAAUAAUUUGCUUUUUUUCCUCAAGAGAACACAUUUUAACAAGAAAAUAGCGAGAGGUUUUAAAUUUAAUCUUUGCUGAUUAAGCAGAAAGCUAGGAAUAAAAAUAACGUUAUCGUUAAACGUUUAAAAUGCAAUCUCAUAUUGGCGGUGCAGUGUGAUGGGGAUAAGAUUUGUCUCGUUUUUUGAUGAACGAGCGGAGAGCCGUGCGGCAAAAAUAUCAAUGUUGCCAAACGUAUUAAUUUGUAGCGUAUUGGAAACAGCAUGUAUGUAUUGUGCCCUCUGUCUGUCUCAUGCGGACUCCAUAUGUCCCCUUUCGCUUAUGCUCAUAGACUAUUUCCUAUAGGCGAGGUUUGCAUUAUUAUAUCUGUAUAUAGUAGCAUUUGAGUUUUUUUUAAUAAUCCGUCAGAAAGGGUUAGUCAUAAGUCAACGCCCUCUAGCAGAUUUUAGGAAAAGUAAUUUGAAUUUUUUUUUUGGUGGAAAAAAUAAGGCAACUUAUAAAAAAAAUAUGUUUAAAAAAAACCGGUCCAGUCAUAGCUGAUUUUCAGCUGUUUUCUUUAUUCAAGCUAAAAACGCCUCCCACCACUUUAUUUGACAAUUGACAGAAAUUUUUGUAGAAACUUUUUUGUAAGGAAAUCUUCCUAAAAUAUUAAUAUAAUAUUUUGAGGUGUACGUUAUUGGAGGUUUUUUGGCAAAAAUGCAAUUUUAAGAUUUAAAGAAGCUGUGGCGCCCUCUAGCGGUUGUCCAAUGAACUUCAAAAUAAUUUCCAGCAUUUUUUUUUGGUCACUUUUAUUACAAAAUUUUUUUUUCAAGGCGCUACGACUAUUAGGGCCUGAGAUAUCGCCGACGUCCAUUCUUAGUUGGCCACCCGGUACAAUUAUAACCUAAAAAUUAUUGUUUAUUUAUGUACUGUGAAGUGUGUGGAUGGCUUCUAAAGGUUUUUUAUUGCUUUAUGUAAGUUUUUAGUUUUGUUUAAGUAAUAUGUUUAUUUUAGGCCUGAUGAUGCUCUAACUAGAGCAAAACACGUGUUUAUUACAUGUUGUGAGAACAUGAUUUUCUGUUUUUCUUUGUUUUCGUCAAUUUUGUAUGUUGGUCUUUUAGAGAAUAAUGAAUGAGAAUUUUAGAUUAUCGGACGAUGUAAAAAAAAUAAUUGUCGACAAAUUUAAUAGUGGGCAAAAGUAGCGUCAAGCUGCUAAAGAAUUAAAUCUUAAUAGGUCAAUUAUAAGCAAGCUUAUUGCCUUUUGGAAGAUCAGAAAAACUAUUAAAAGCCCCCCCAAGACCGGAAAACCCAGAAAAACUAAUUGUGCUGAAGAUAGAAAAAUUAAGAGAAGUUUCACUCUCAAUUCGAAGCAUUCGGUAUCGCCUUAGUGAAAUGGGACUGUAUGUGCGGCAUCCAGCAAAGAAACCUUUUAUUUCCCCUAAGAACAGGGCCACCAGACUACAGUUUACAAGGGAUCAUCUUUCAUGGACCGUGGAAAAAUAGAAAAAUAUUUUAUUUUCGGAUGAGAGCAAUUGUUUGGAUCGGAUGGUGUAAAGUGGGAAGAGGUGUUGAUCCAUUAGUGCGUGUAGAAGGUAAACUGGAUCGUUUUGAAUAUCUGUGCAUUCUUGAGCAGCAAAUGCUUCCACAUGCUGAAUACAACAUGGCAUUAGUGUGGACGUUUCAACACGAUAACGAUCCAAAGCAUACCUCAGGGGCCGAAUUUUUGAAACCAUUCGAAUUUGAUUCGCAUACGAAAUUAAAUGAUUGCGCAUGAAAAAUCGAUAUUCUGCAUCAUAUGCGAACUUUUUCGCAUGCGGUGUCUCGAAGGGGUAUAUACCAUUCGAAUUUCAAAGUUUGUGUGCGAUUUUCAAUUUGAUUCUGCCACUUGUCUUAUUUUGAUUUUAAACUAGCUUUGUUUUUUUUUUUAAGAUUAAACAAUCUUGUGCAAAGAAACGUCGUCGAUGCAUUGAAAGAGAUAGAAACUCUGGCAAAUAGAAAGAAUAAGAUGUACUCUUCAUUUCUUGGCCUAUUUGAAAUGUAUUCAGAUGCUCAAUUUAUUAAAUUAUAUAGAUUAAGCAAGCCUAUAACGAUGGAAUUGAUGUGCUCUUUAUGUGUUCCAGGGAGACUGUGUAAUCUGUUUGUUACUUUUAUCCACAAGGCUUGUGCAGUUUUAGCUGAAAAAUCUUCGAUGAAUUUGCCUGACUUUAAUUCCGGGUACUCUGCUAUAAAUGAAAUUAGUUCUUUCUUUUGCUCACUCGACACAAAAUCGGAAUAUUUUUUAAAUCCAACUUAAAAAAAAGUCAAUUCGAAAAACCCAAGAAACGCCAUGAAAAAAACCUCAAAAUUCCAUGAUGUUUUUAAACUUAAAUUUUAGGUUGGGUUAAAAAAUCUUUAUAGACUUCAUCCCGUUUGACAUGGCCUCUAAUAGCACUCGACUUUGCUACGUUGCCACUACAUUUCAUGUUUGUAUACGAAUGAAAUUUCAAAUGCUGUUUAAAAAUGCACUUUUUAAUUUGUGUGCGAAUUUUGCUGCUCGACUUGAUUCGCAUUAGAAGAUUCUCGCAUGGUUUCAAAAAAUACGGCCCUAAAGAGUGGUUAGCUAGUAAUAAAGUUAAUGUCAUGAGGUGGCCUGCUCAGAGCCCGAAUAUUAACCCUAUAGAAAAUCUUUUGGAAGAAUUGGAUCGACGUCUACGACCAAAGAACAAGGCUAAAUUCAGAAACCAGGAUGAAUUAUUUCAAGAAUUAAAUAAAAUAUGGUUGACCGUAAGUCCAGAAUAUAUCA